AGAACUAAAGUGCAUGCUUGGUUGAUAUUAUUUAAAUUUUUUAUGUUGAGAGUAUUUGCACUACAGCAAAUCUUGCACUUAAUAACAGUUUAAACAAUAACUAGCAACGCUUUAAAUCGUCGGCAAAGAAUAAGAUCGAUAGUUAUAAAAGUAUCGAACAAAGAGUCGUUAAAUAAACAUGUCGGGAUAAAUAUACCAAUAUUUUAACGUAGCAUCGAAAAAUUUUUAUCAGUAUUUGAUAAAAAUAUAUUUAUUGAUAAUGCUUAAUCAUGAAGUCGGCACAUGCCAAAUAUUAAAGACGCUAAAGUAAAUCGCCGUCUAAAAAACGUCGUUUAAAACAUAUUUUGUUGUAGUGUUGAGAUAUGAGUUUAAGUGGGGAGAGAAAUUUGAAAAAUUUCA
rnacentral:lncRNA from 1 species